GAUGAACGCUGGCGGCGUGCCUAAUACAUGCAAGUAGAACGCUAAAGGCGGAGCUUGCUCUUCUGGAUGAGUUGCGAACGGGUGAGUAACGCGUAGGUAACCUGCCUGGUAGCGGGGGAUAACUUUUGGAAACGAUAGCUAAUACCGCAUAACAACAGUUAUUGCAUGAUAACUGUUUAAAAGUGGCAGCUGCUCGACUACGAGAUGGAGCUGCGUUGUAUUAGCUAGUUGGUGGGGUAACGGCUCACCAAGGCGACGAUACGUAGCCGACCUGAGAGGGGGAUAGGCCACACGGGGACGGAGACGCGGCCCAGACUCCUACGGGAGGCAGCAGUAGGGUAUCGUCGGCAAUGGACGGAAGUCUGACCGAGCAACGCCGCGUGAGUGAAGAAGGUGUUCGGAUCGUAAAGCCCUGUUUUAAGAGAAGAACGGGUGUGAGAGGGGACAGUUCGCGCGGUAACGGUAUCUUACCAGAAAGACCGGGCUAACUACGU
rnacentral:rRNA from 1 species